AAAAUAUUAUAUUAAUAAUAUUAUUACUUUAUAAAAUGUUACUUGGGCCAACGUAAAUUUGACCAGCAUUUUCCGUUCAUAUAAGCUGCGCUGGAGUGAACAAUUUGACAAGAGAGCAAGAGAAAUUUAGUGCGUAAGCGUGGCGUUCCUAUCUACGCUUUAGUGCGUAGCGCAGUUGCAAGUCGGAUUUCUGUUCGUUCGUCAUCAUUUGUCAUAAAUAAGACGUUAUCAGUAUGAUUUUAAAACAGAAUUGUUGUACUUAUAUUUAUUUAUUGGUUAUUUUUGGUACUCAGUGCUCGUAUUAGUUUUUUUUUGUUGGAUCAACUUAAUAGUGUGGUGGUUAAGUUAAUUCUCAAAAGUUAUUGUUCUAAUCACCCUAGAAAUGGACAAAUUUUUAUUAAACUUGAAUAAUCAAGAUAGUGCUGGAUAUAAAGAGGACUCUCCACAAUCUAGUGGCAAGGGUUCCAGGAAGCGAAAAUAUCGUAAAUAUGACGACAGUUAUUUGGAUUUUGGCUUUACAUCAACAAAUGAUAAUGAUAAAGAGAGAGCACAGUGCUUAUUGUGUAAUGAAAGUUUUGGCAUCAGAGUGUAUGCUUCCAAG
rnacentral:lncRNA from 1 species